rnacentral:rRNA from 1 species
UACGUAGGGUGCGAGCGUUAAUCGGAAUUACUGGGCGUAAAGCGUGCGCAGGCGGUUCGUUGUGUCCGGUGUGAAAGCCCCGAGCUUAACUUGGGAAUGGCAUUGGAAACUGGCGAGCUGGAGUGUGGCAGAGGGGGGCGGAAUUCCACGUGUAGCAGUGAAAUGCGUAGAGAUGUGGAGGAACACCGAUGGCGAAGGCAGCCCCCUGGGCCAACACUGACGCUCAGGCACGAAAGCGUGGGGAGCAAACAGG